AGCUGCGCACACGUGCAGGCCCCGGGGCGGCGGGCGGGCGGGCGCUGCGGGGACGAGGGAGCCCCGAGGUCGAGGUCGAGGUCGAGGUCGAGGCCACCCGGCCGGAGGGCUGAGCUGGAGCCGGCGGGCCGGGCGGGGCUGGGAGGCGCUGGUGGCCGCGGGGUUUAUUUUAAGGGACGCGAAGCUACCGCAGGUUUGGGGGAGGGGAGGGGAGGGAUUAAAGGAGAACAUGCGCUCAGCACUUUAUAUUUAGCGGCUGACGCGCCGGAAGCGCUCGUCACCCGCAGCUGCCGCUGCGCCCAGAGGGCAGCCCCCACCCCGCGCGGCUGGGGAUCCCCGGCCCCGCACCCCGCCCUCGCUCGGCAGGACCGGCACUCACGGCCCUCUGCCCACGGGGACCCUCGAGCCCGCCCCCUCCCGGGACCGGGAACCCCGAACCCCGCCUCCUCCUCCGGGAAAGGGAUCCCCCAACCCCGCCUCCACCUCCCGGGCGGGACAGGGAUCCCCGAACCCCGCCUCCCCCUCCCCGGACAGGGAUCCCCCAACCCCGCCUCCACCUCCGGGGACAGGGAUCCCCGAACCCCGCCUCCGCCUCCCCCUCCCCGGACAAGGAUCCCCCAACCCCACCUCCCCUCCCGGGACAGGGAUCCCCGAACCCCGCCCCCUCUCCCGGACUGGGAUCCCCCAACCCCGCCUCCCCCUCCGGGGACAGGGAUCCCCCAACCCCGCCUCCCCCUCCGGGGACAGGGAUCCCCCCAACCCCGCCUUCCCCUCCCGGACAGGGAUCCCCGAACCCCGCCCCCUCUCCCGGGACAGGGAUCCCCCAACCCCGCCUCCCCUCCGGGGACAGGGAUCCCCCCAACCCCGCCUCCCCCUCCCGGGACAGGGAUCCCCCAACCCCGCCUCCCCCUCCGGAGACAGGGAUCCCCGAACCCCGCCUCCCCCUCCCCGGACAGGGAUCCCCGAACCCCGCCCCCUCUCCCGGGACAGGGAUCCCCCAACCCCGCCUCCCCCUCCCCGGACAGGGAUCCCCCAACCCCGCCUCCCCCUCCCGGGACAGGGAUCCCCGAACCCCGCCCCCUCUCCCGGGACAGGGAUCCCCCAACCCCGCCUCCCCCUCCCCGGACAGGGAUCCCCGAACCCCGCCCCCUCUCCCGGGACAGGGAUCCUCCAACCCCGCCUCCACCUCCGGGGACAGGGACCCUCGCCCUUGCCUCCGCCCCCCGGGGCAGGGACUCCGCCCCACCCGGCCUGGAGAAAGGGAGGGCCCGGGCGCCCGCGGACCGCGUGGCCUCGCAGCCUGGAGCUGGGGAAGCCGCCCGGCCGCUCCUGGAGAGCGGAUGCUCGCACGCUCGCGGCCCCGGCGCCCGGGCCCAGGCAGCCGAGCCCCGCCCCGGCCCCGGCCCCGCCCCCGGCCCCGCCCCCGCAUUCCCACCCCUCCCCCUCCGCCCCGGGCGGCCCGCGGGGUCUCGUGCUCUCGCCCCGCGCGGGGCCCGCCGGGACUUGGCUGAGGAGGGGGCGGAGCGCGGGGAAAGCCCGCCCGGGCCCGCGGCGCCGUCUGCGCAGGCGCGGAGCGCGGGCCCGCCCCCCGGCCGGCGGCGCGGCCAUAUUUAA
rnacentral:lncRNA from 1 species